AGUCGCGCCGCAGGGUUGUGGCAUGGCGACCAGGCUUUUGAGUAGGGCAGCGGCCGUCUGCCCCGCGUCUUCCCCGGGUAGGCCGCAGGCUCCAAAGUUUUGGAUCUCCGGGCCCCGAAACUCCCGAUCUCUGAGUCUGCGGUGGUGCCAGCCCUCUCCUGCACGCUUCUGUGGGCUAUUCCUCCCAAUUAUCGGCGGUAUGCCUAUGCUUUUUAUCGGUUGGAGGUAAAAUUAGUCGGAGCCUCAGGGCCAUGCGACCGGUCAGCAUGGCGGUGAGGCCCC